AUGACUUAGCAAGAGAUUUUGUUCUGAUGUAAUGAUGCUAAUUUUAAACUUUAAACAGCUUGAAAAGUGAGAUGAAUGUCUGAAAUGAAAAUCUCAACUGAUUCAAAGAUAAAGAAUAUAAAAUCAGUAGUUUUAGGAAGGAGCCACAUUAGCCUUCCUCCCUGCAGACCAACUUCCAUUCCAAGAAUAAUUUUCCUCUCUGUCAAAAGCAGAAAAUAUGUGAAUACUGAAUUGAAACUGUAAGAACUGAAGAGCAGAAGGGUCCAGAAGAACAGAGCAGGUGACAGUUCACAGGUGGUAAAUAUCAUUCCACGAUCCCACCCCUGUGUUGGCGAGAGGGAAGCAAGGUAGAAGGGAGAGGGAGAGAGACUCUUAAG